rnacentral:ncRNA from 2 species
AAAAGUAAACUGAAAACAUUGUAAGAACUAUUAACUGAAUCGGAACCGCCCCGCGCGCUUCCACGACGAUACUUAUUUCCUUUGAUCGUCGUUAUUACUGGCAAAGCCACAAAGGAGAAACAAUA